rnacentral:tRNA from 1 species
GUUUUAAUAGUUUAAAUAAAACAUUAGUCUUGUAAACUAAAAAUAGAAAAUUCUUUAAAACA